AGCGAACGCUGGCGGCAUGCUUAACACAUGCAAGUCGCACGGAGGGGGCAACCCCUCAGUGGCGGACGGGUGAGUAACGCGUAGGUAUCUAUCCAUGGGUGGGGGAUAACAGUGGGAAACUGCUGCUAAUACCGCAUAUUCUGUGAGCAGGAAAGCAGGGGAUCGCAAGACCUUGCGCUGAUUGAGCGGCCGAUAUCAGAUUAGCUAGUUGGUGAGGUAAAGGCUCACCAAGGCGACGAUCUGUAGCGGGUCUGAGAGGAUGAUCCGCCACACUGGAACUGAGACACGGUCCAGACUCCUACGGGAGGCAGCAGUGGGGAAUUUUGGACAAUGGGCGCAAGCCUGAUCCAGCCAUGCCGCGUGAGUGAAGAAGGCCU
rnacentral:rRNA from 1 species